rnacentral:rRNA from 1 species
GAUGAACGCUGGCGGCGUGCCUAAUACAUGCAAGUCGAGCGAACAGACGAGGAGCUUGCUUCUCUGACGUUAGCGGCGGACGGGUGAGUAACACGUGGAUAACCUACCUAUAAGACUGGGAUAACUUCGGGAAACCGGAGCUAAUACCGGAUAAUAUAUUGAACCGCAUGGUUCAAUAGUGAAAGACGGUUUUGCUGUCACUUAUAGAUGGAUCCGCGCCGCAUUAGCUAGUUGGUAAGGUAACGGCUUACCAAGGCAACGAUGCGUAGCCGACCUGAGAGGGUGAUCGGCCACACUGGAACUGAGACACGGUCCAGACUCCUACGGGAGGCAGCAGUAGGGAAUCUUGCGCAAUGGGCGAAAGCCUGACGGAGCAACGCCGCGUGAGUGAUGAAGGUCUUCGGGUCGUAAAACUCUGUUAUUAGGGAAGAACAAAUGUGUAAGUAACUAUGGACGUCUUGACGGUACCUAAUCAGAAAGCCACGGCUAACUACGUG